rnacentral:rRNA from 1 species
CGCGUGCACUGGUCCGGCCGGGCCUUUCCCUCUGCGGAACCCCAUGCCCUUCACUGGGUGUGGCGGGGAAACAGGACUUUUACUUUGAAAAAAUUAGAGUGCUCAAGGCAGGCCUAUGCUCGAAUACAUUAGCAUGGAAUAAUAGAAUAGGACGUGUGGUUCUAUUUUGUUGGUUUCUAGGACCGCCGUAAUGAUUAAUAGGGACAGUCGGGGGCAUCAGUAUUCAAUUGUCAGAGGUGAAAUUCUUGGAUUUAUUGAAGACUAACUACUGCGAAAGCAUUUGCCAAGGAUGUUUUCAUUAAUCAGGAACGAAAGUUAGGGGAUCGAAGACGAUCAGAUACCGUCGUAGUCUUAACCAUAAACUAUGCCGACUAGGGAUCGGACGAUGUUACAUUUUUGACGCGUUCGGCACCUUACGAGAAAUCAAAGUGCUUGGGCUCCAGGGGGAGUAUGGUCGCAAGGCUGAAACUUAAAGAAGUUGACGGAAGGGCACCACCAGGGGUGGAGCCUGCGGCUUAAUUUGACUCAACACGGGGAAACUCACCAGGUCCAGACACAAUGAGGAUUGACAGAUUGAGAGCUCUUUCUUGAUUUUGUGGGUGGUGGUGCAUGGCCGUUCUUAGUUGGUGGAGUGAUUUGUCUGCUUAAUUGCGAUAACGAACGAGACCUUAACCUGCUAAAUAGCCCGUAUUGCUUUGGCAGUACGCUGGCUUCUUAGAGGGACUAUCGG